GUAUUGUUGUCACUUUCAAAGUUAAUCACUUUAUUAGGCGUUAGCGUCGCUUUCAAAGUUAAAAAACGAGCGUGGUGGUCCCGGCAGCUCUCGCUAAGAUCCUUAUGUGUUUUGGUCGUAUUUGUAUUGCGAGUCGAAGUCCUUUUGUGAUUUACCUGUUUUUCGACUCUCCGAAGUCGAAGUCGAAGUCACACCCCGAUGCACGAAGGGUUUCUUCUCCUGUUUUAAAUCUGCUGUUUAUUUGAUGUGCUGUUCGAAAUUUUCUCUAUAUUCCAGGUUGAAGGUGUGGUGGUUAUCCUUUUGAUUGAUUUAGUUUGUUGUUGGGUGUUUGGUUUUCUGGUCUGUUUGGAUCUGUAACAGAUCGCCCUGGCUCGAUGAAAAAAGAGAGGAGAUGCCAUGAAUUAAUUUGAUUAUUUGAUGUGUUGUUGAGAAAUUCAGUUGAUAAAAAACUGACAAAAGUCCUCUUCUCCCUCGCCUAGUCUGGGUUUUUUAUUUUUAAUCUCAGAUAACAACUCUCACCUUGUAAAGGGUGAUAUUUUCGCGUCUCUCAUCUCACACCACAAAGGUUCUAGAUUUGUUAUUUUCAUGGGAGUUAUUGGCAAAAACAAUAAUACAUAUUUGGUUCUCUCAAUGUUUUCGUCUCUCUCAUCUCACACCAUAAUACAUGUUUAUCUUUAUCUGUUUUUUUAUGGAUCAUCAUGGCCUCAGAACUCCAGGAGGUCUUUUUCCUGCUUUCUCAUCUACCGCUCAGACUCACACCCCAAAGGAGGACUUGUUCUAGAUUUGUAAUUUUCAUGGGAGUUAUUGGCAAGAUACAUAUGAGUAUGUUUAUCCUCUUAAUGAUUUGAUUUUUUAGUUGACUUUCUCGAGUUCUUCUGUUUGUGCUGAAAAAAAAAAUACAGCCUUUUGGAUGUCAAUUCAGAUAAGUUGUUAGAUCUUUGGAAUUGUGAUCUCCAAUCUCUUUGUUGAUCUUCAGCUUUUGAAUCAGCACAGGCAUAAAAUUCAUGAAUUUGACAGAUGAAGUUUUGACUAAUUGAUUCUUUUUUCUUUUUUCUUUUUCUCUUGAAUUUAUAAAGAUGGUGGAUAAAACAUUUGAUGAUGGCUAAAGAUACCAGGUGGGUGGAAACUCUGUACCAUAGCAUGUCCUUGUGACAGGAACUUCUGAAUAAUACUGCAACCUCAUGUUGAUGAAUCUGCAAGGAAGCUUCUUGAAGAUAAAUUUUCUUUAGGACCAGUGGUUCAGAAACUCUGCGCUUUUGCUUGGACAGUUACUGGACAAAAUGCUUUCAAUCACCAUUCCCUAUCCAUUGCCUGAUCUAAAAGAUGCAAGAUGAUUGAUGAUGGCUAAAGAUACUAUGAGGGUGGAAACUCUGUGCUAUAGCGUGUCCUUGUGCCAGGAAAUCACCUUCCCCUAUCCAUUGCCAGAUCUAAAGAUUCAAGAACUUAUUUAAAAAAAAAGAAGCAGCAGGUUAAAAUGAGAUUCUCAUCACAAAUUAUGAUCUCUCCUUUAUCAGGGGAAUGGACAGACAUGGUUGGUUUUUCUCUGCUAUUGGAGCACUGGCUGCCAUUAUCCAAUUGAAAUCUGAAACUCUCUCUCCAUCUAGGACACACGAUGCUAUCAUAACCAUGUGCGUUGUUGCUGUGCUCCUCCAUAUUGUAAGUAGUGCAUGGGAAGUUAAACUUGCAGCUGGUCGCUUCCACUCAAUUGCUGCCGGCGCAAGUCUUCUGGCCAGAGCUCUCGCCAUUGCUCUGCUACUCAUAAUCUGCGUCCCAAAAAUUUGGUGGUUUCUGCUUUCCGCAUGUGUGAUGUUCUUCAUAUGGGUAACAUAUACUUUACGUGAGGAAUUUUCACAAUUGUGUGAAUCACUGUAUAAUGCAGUUCGCCUUAGUCAACGCCGCGGCCACAGCCAAGCCCAAGAGCCAAAUGAGUUGCCAGUGUAACCAUACCGAGCCAUUGAAGAGAAUCAGUGUUUCUCACUGGUCGACGUCUAUAUCCAAGAGAAUCAUUUGUACGGUUGAUGGAAGACUGUUGUCUAUAUAUAUAUAUAAUUGCGUGGUGUGAUUGAAAUUACAAGUGCUAUUUUUACUAGUAUGAGCGCAACUUGGUAACGUUAUCUGUAAUAUAUUGUUUGAAUACUUGCUUCAAGAAAAAGAAAAUAAUCCAAAAUGCCUAUUUAAAGUA